UGAUACAAGUGUCAAAAACAUGAAAAUCCGUUGCAAGCUUGCUUGCAAAAGGAUUUGACAUCUUUUGACACGCAAACAAUAUGAGUAAGUAGCCGUUUUUGCAAAAAACGAGCGGAUUACGAAUAUUGUUGCAAGGAUUGCGAGAAGCGUUAGCUGAAGCAAUCCUGUAUCA
rnacentral:sRNA from 1 species